rnacentral:rRNA from 1 species
GACGAACGCUGGCGGCGUGCCUAAUACAUGCAAGUAGAACGCUGAAGGAGGAGCUUGCUUCUCUGGAUGAGUUGCGAACGGGUGAGUAACGCGUAGGUAACCUGCCUGGUAGCGGGGGAUAACUAUUGGAAACGAUAGCUAAUACCGCAUAAUAUUGACUAUUGCAUGAUAGUCAGUUGAAAGGUGCAACUGCACCACUACCAGAUGGACCUGCGUUGUAUUAGCUAGUUGGUGGGGUAACGGCUCACCAAGGCGACGAUACAUAGCCGACCUGAGAGGGUGAUCGGCCAAACUGGGACUGAGACACGGCCCAGACUCCUACGGGAGGCAGCAGUAGGGAAUCUUCGGCAAUGGACGGAAGUCUGACCGAGCAACGCCGCGUGAGUGAAGAAGGUUUUCGGAUCGUAAAGAUCUGUUGUAAGAGAAGAACGAGUGUGAGAGUGGAAAGCUCACACUGUGACGGUAUCUUACCAGAAAGGGACGGCUAACUACGUG